UACGUAGGCAGCAAGCGUUGUUCGGAGUUACUGGGCGUAAAGGGUGUGUAGGCGGUUGUUUAAGUUUGGUGUGAAAUCUCCCGGCUCAACUGGGAGGGUGCGCCGAAUACUGAAUGACUUGGAGUGCGGGAGAGGAAAGUGGAAUUCCUGGUGUAGCGGUGAAAUGCGUAGAUAUCAGGAGGAACACCGGUGGUGUAGACGGCUUUCUGGACCGUAACUGACACUGAGAGACGAAAGCUAGGGGAGCGAAUGGG
rnacentral:rRNA from 1 species